rnacentral:rRNA from 1 species
UACAGAGGUGGCAAGCGUUGUUCGGAAUUACUGGGCGUAAAGGGCGCGUAGGCGGCCUUCUAAGUCAGACGUGAAAUCCCCCGGCUCAACCUGGGAACUGCGUCUGAUACUGGAGGGCUUGAAUGCGGGAGAGGGAUGUGGAAUUCCAGGUGUAGCGGUGAAAUGCGUAGAUAUCUGGAGGAACACCGGUGGCGAAGGCGGCAUCCUGGACCGACAUUGACGCUGAGGCGCGAAAGCUAGGGUAGCAAAC